rnacentral:rRNA from 1 species
GACGAACGCUGGCGGCGUGCCUAAUACAUGCAAGUAGAACGCUGAAGGAGGAGCUUGCUCUUCUGGAUGAGUUGCGAACGGGUGAGUAACGCGUAGGUAACCUGCCUGGUAGCGGGGGAUAACUAUUGGAAACGAUAGCUAAUACCGCAUAACAGUAGAUGUUGCAUGACAUUUGCUUAAAAGGUGCAAUUGCAUCACUACCAGAUGGACCUGCGUUGUAUUAGCUAGUUGGUGGGGUAACGGCUCACCAAGGCGACGAUACAUAGCCGACCUGAGAGGGGGAUCGGCCACACUGGGACUGAGACACGGCCCAGACUCCUACGGGAGGCAGCAGUAGGGAAUCUUCGGCAAUGGACGGAAGUCUGACCGAGCAACGCCGCGUGAGUGAAGAAGGUUUUCGGAUCGUAUAGCUCUGUUGUAAGAGAAGAACGAGUGUGAGAGUGGAAAGUUCACACUGUGACGGUAUCUUACCAGAAAGGGACGGCUAACUACGUG